UCUACUGCAAGUCUAGGUGAGCCUGUAGCCAAGAGAAAGGCGAUUACAAUGGAAAUGAAAGUAGAAAUAAUUAAGCAUUGGCAGAAAGCCCGCACACCGUCAUUCACUGGGAGAGCGUUAGGCUUCAGUCACUCAGCAGUUACGAAGGACAAAGUUGGAAUAAUGGAACAGGGGAAAGGCAGUGCUCCAGUGAAGGCGUCUAUUAGUACUAAGCAGCAUAGUGGAUUAAUUACUGAAAUGGGAAGUUUAUUAUUGAUUCGCUUAGAAGGCCAAAGUUAGUGUAACAUUCCUAUCAGCCUGGCGUUGACGCAACAUUAGCCGGAGCCAUUCUGGGCACACGAUGGCCUGAGGUCACCCGAGGCUGCUCCCAUGACAGACAGAGCCCACAGCUCCCGCUUCCUGACGUGUGUCAUAUUGGCCCUUGGCCUUCUCAAAAAGUCCCUCGACAGCCUCAGCAUUUGCUUAAACAUAAACAUAUCUACACUCCACCUGACCCAGGACUGCCAAUUGAUGGAGAUUUAUUCUAGACUCAUUAUAAAUGCCCACACUAUAAAUAUGACUUUACACUUGA